rnacentral:rRNA from 1 species
AUGGUGGCUCCGAGAGCACUCGUCCUCGCCGUCCUGCUGGCGAUCGCCGUCGCCAACGCCGAGGCGGCGUCGGUCGUCGUCGGCCUGGCCAAGUGCGCCGACUGCACCAGGAAGAACCUCAAGGCCGAGGAGGCCUUCAAGGGUCUCCAGGUGGCGAUCAAGUGCAAGAACGUCCACGGCGAGUACGAGAGCAAGGCGGUGGGCGGCCUCGACGGCACCGGUGCCUUCAGCGUUCCCCUGGCGGCCGACCUCCACGACGCUGACUGCGUCGCUCAGCUCCACAGCGCCGCCUCCAACGCGCCGUGCUCCGGCCAGGAGCCAUCCAAGAUCGUGCCUGCUUCCGAGGGAACCACCUUCGGCAUCGUCGCCGGCGACAGCAUUGCCACGCGGUCUGCAGCGUCGCCAGAGUGCGCGUCCAUGACCUUGUGCGGGCCGAUCAAGAAGCACAUCAUCGAGCAUUUCCACCACAAGCAGCCCGUGCCGCCCAAGCCGGAGCCCAAGCCCCAGCCCCAUCCUGACUAUCACCCCGUGCCCAAGCCGCAGCCCCACCCGGACUACCACCCCGUCCCUCCCACGCCCACCUACGGCGGCGGCGGCGGCGGUGGUGGAUACCAUGGACACCACUAG